UACGUAGGACGCGAGCGUUAUCCGGAGUAACUGGGCGUAAAGGGCGGGCAGGCGGUUUCUCAAGUCAGGCGUGAAAGCGCUCGGCUCAACUGAGCGAGGCCGCGUGAGACUGAGAGACUGGAGGGCAGCAGAGGCGCGUGGAAGUCCGGGUGGAGUGGUGAAAUGCGUAGAGAUCCGGACGAACACCAGAGGCGAAGGCGGCGCGCUGGGCUGCGACUGACGCUGAGCCGCGAGAGCCAGGGGAGCGAACGGG
rnacentral:rRNA from 1 species